rnacentral:rRNA from 1 species
UCCGGUUGAUCCUGCCGGAGGCCACUGCUAUGGGGGUCCGACUAAGCCAUGCGAGUCAUGGGGCGCGCUCCUGCGCGCACCGGCGGACGGCUCAGUAACACGUCGGUAACCUACCCUCGGGAGGGGGAUAACCCCGGGAAACUGGGGCUAAUCCCCCAUAGGCCUGAGGUACUGGAAGGUCCUCAGGCCGAAAAGGGCUCUGCCCGCCCGAGGAUGGGCCGGCGGCCGAUUAGGUAGUUGGUGGGGUAACGGCCCACCAAGCCGAAGAUCGGUACGGGCCAUGAGAGUGGGAGCCCGGAGAUGGACACUGAGACACGGGUCCAGGCCCUACGGGGCGCAGCAGGCGCGAAACCUCCGCAAUGCGGGCAACCGCGACGGGGGGACCCCCAGUGCCGUGGCAUCGCCACGGCUUUUCCGGAGUGCACAAAGCUCCGGGAAUAAGGGCUGGGCAAGGCCGGUGGCAGCCGCCGCGGUAAUACCGGCGGCCCGAGUGGUGGCCGCUAUUAUUGGGCCUAAAGCGUCCGCAGCCGGGCCCGUAAGUCCCUGGCGAAAUCUCACGGCUCAACCGUGGGGCUUGCUGGGGAUACUGCGGGCCUUGGGACCGGGAGAGGCCGGGGGUACCCCUGGGGUAGGGGUGAAAUCCUGUAAUCCCAGGGGGACCGCCAGUGGCGAAGGCGCCCGGCUGGAACGGGUCCGACGGUGAGGGACGAAGGCCAGGGGAGCGAACCGGAUUAGAUACCCGGGUAGUCCUGGCUGUAAAGGAUGCGGGCUAGGUGUCGGGUGAGCUUCGAGCUCGCCCGGUGCCGAAGGGAAGCCGUUAAGCCCGCCGCCUGGGGAGUACGGCCGCAAGGCUGAAACUUAAAGGAAUUGGCGGGGGAGCACUACAAGGGGUGGAGCGUGCGGUUUAAUUGGAUUCAACGCCGGG